UGUUUGGUUUUUAAGCACGUUUCCUAAUAAAACACGCACUGCGAGGUGAAGCUGGACAAUCUAUUUUUUUCGCUACUUCUCAGCCUUGGUUCCGGUUCUGUGUCCGUGCUCCUCGGUGGUGUAUGGUGAGGUGAGCUCCAACUUGGUGUUUUUACGUUUAUGAGAUCGGCAGGGGUCCAACACC